rnacentral:sRNA from 1 species
AAUUAAACCUGAUUGCCGCGGAAAGCCCGGAGUGUAGCGAGGACUUGAAGCAAAAAGCAGGACUGAAU